rnacentral:misc_RNA from 1 species
CUGCCCUCCAGCACGGCUGGGUAUUGGGAGCUGUCCCGCACGGGACACACCCGAAAGGCAGUGGCGGCGUCGCGUCGGUCCUCGAGCGUAUGGAGCUUUGUCACCUGCUCGGGAGGGACUUGCGGGCGUCGGUCUUCUAUUGACUGGUCUCUCUAGGGACUAGUCUUCUAC